rnacentral:rRNA from 1 species
CCCCUGGGAAGUCCUCGUGUUUGCAUCCCU